rnacentral:rRNA from 1 species
CCUACGGGAGGCAGCAGUGAGGAAUAUUGGUCAAUGGACGAGAGUCUGAACCAGCCAAGUAGCGUGAAGGAUGACUGCCCUAUGGGUUGUAAACUUCUUUUAUAUGGGAAUAAAAUGUUCCACGUGUGGGAUUUUGUAUGUACCAUAUGAAUAAGGAUCGGCUAACUCCGUGCCAGCAGCCGCGGUAAUACGGAGGGUCCGAGCGUUAUCCGGAUUUAUUGGGUUUAAAGGGAGCGUAGGUGGAUUGUUAAGUCAGUUGUGAAAGUUUGCGGCUCAACCGUAAAAUUGCAGUUGAAACUGGCAGUCUUGAGUACAGUAGAGGUGAGCGGAAUUCGUGGUGUAGCGGUGAAAUGCUUAGAUAUCACGAAGAACUCCGAUUGCGAAGGCAGUUCACUGGACUGCAACUGACACUGAGGCUCGAAAGUGUGGGUAUCAAACAGGAUUAGAUACCCGAGUAGUC